CGAGGAGCUUGCUCCUCUGACGUUAGCGGCGGACGGGUGAGUAACACGUGGAUAACCUACCUAUAAGACUGGGAUAACUUCGGGAAACCGGAGCUAAUACCGGAUAAUAUAUUGAACCGCAUGGUUCAAUAGUGAAAGACGGUUUUGCUGUCACUUAUAGAUGGAUCCGCGCCGCAUUAGCUAGUUGGUAAGGUAACGGCUUACCAAGGCAACGAUGCGUAGCCGACCUGAGAGGGUGAUCGGCCACACUGGAACUGAGACACGGUCCAGACUCCUACGGGAGGCAGCAGUAGGGAAUCUUCCGCAAUGGGCGAAAGCCUGACGGAGCAACGCCGCGUGAGUGAUGAAGGUCUUCGGAUCGUAAAACUCUGUUAUUAGGGAAGAACAAAUGUGUAAGUAACUAUGCACGUCUUGACGGUACCUAAUCAGAAAGCCACGGCUAACUACGUGCCAGCAGCCGCGGUAAUACGUAGGUGGCAAGCGUUAUCCGGAAUUAUUGCGCGUAAAGCGCGCGUAGGCG
rnacentral:rRNA from 1 species